GCUUUCCCUAAUUUUGACCAGUCACAUGAAUUCCAUUUUUCUAUUUUCAAGCCUAAGUAUGGACCAGGGGCAGAACUUGAGCUGCGACGGUGCUCUUGUUUUAUUUCCGUUCUUCCCUAACUGAAACGUCAAAAUGAAAAGGCAGAAGAAGAGAUGGCAGAACCCGUUUCUGGGGCUCAACCCAAGCGGUUUGCCAUUAGCAAUGAUCACGACAGCAUCUUGCAGCUUGCGGGGCAUGGAUAAUUGUGCAAGACUUUUAAGCGCUCAAGGGUGAUCCUUCUUGGCACCUGUCAGUUAAGAAAAAGACAAUCUCCUUAUGGAAGAUCGGAGGAAUUACCUUGUAGCCGAACGGAGGCACGCAAAAGACUCUGUCUUCAGCAAGGAUGGGGCAAGCAAGAGGCGCCAUAUGGGGACUGCUUCUCUACGCAGAGGCCGUGGCUCUGCUGGCAGUUCUCCUUGGCUGCAGAAUUGCCGCGGUUUAUUUUUUUAUAGCGUUAAAAAUUAGGUUGGCUGUGUUGCAAGCAGCACGAUUCUCUGUCGUCGGAGGAAAAUGAUUCACACUGGGCAGAGUUCUUUCCUCCCCACCUCUUUUCUUUGGGGGAAGGGUGGCAGGAGCAGCACAAAAGUCCCGGGUUCAAACUCCCAGGAUGAGACCUGCAGAGCCAUAGCUGCCUGUCAGUGGGGGCGAUACUGACCCGCAGUCUCACUUGGCAAACGGGCGGCUGCUCAUGUUCCUCACUUCACUCACGACCAUGAUGACUAGAAUCUUUAUUUUGAAAAGAAGGGCUCUAGUGGUCGAGUGCCUGCUUUGGAUGCAGAAGGUCCUGGGUUCAAUUCUAGGGGCAUCUCCCGGUAGGCCUGUCUGAAACCCUGGAGAGCUGCUGCUGCCGCCAGUCAGUGCAGGCAAUACUGAGCUAGAUGGGCCUGGCUCUGCACAAGACAGCUUCCUCCAUUCCCACCGUUGGGGUGGUAAGAGGCUCAUGAUAUCCCCCCUCCAGCCUGGUUUCUGGGAUUUCUAGGGAGAAAAGGGGGUCUGCAGGAUUUCUUACAGAAAUGGCUGCAUUCUCCAUUCUGUGCCCUUCUAUAGUUCUGGUCGCCUUUUUCACAAAUGGAAAGCUAUGUAGAAUAAUGGAAUUGUAGGGUUGGGAAGGACCCAAAGGUUGUCUCGUCCAGCUCCCCACAGUGUAGGGAUCCCGCCCGCAGCCAUCUCUGGGUGGGCUCGAACCACUGACCCCCCUGGUGAAGAGCCAGGCCUAUUGGUGAGAAGUGCUUUUAAGACACGAGGCUGGGAGGGAGAGGAGGAGUCUGAAAAGCUCUGCCUGGGGGCAGCCAGGUGGGACCCCAGCCUCCCAAAGGAGUGGGGGAACACUCAAAAUUGCAGCCUCGCUGGUCGGACGGGGGGGAUCAAUGGUCUGAUUCAUUCAUCUCGCUCUGCUCACGUCCUCCCACUCCGUCCGAGGGAAGGCGCCCACAAAAGCUCCUGUAGUAAUAAUAAGAAGAAAUCUCUUCAGGCGCCACAAGACUUCCACAGAGCCACGAAAUGGACAUAUUAAAUGCACAGAAGCUUUUCAUUGAUUGGGCUUUGGGGAGAUAGAUUUUUAGCAUCACCUGGCAAAACGCUCUUAAGAAGUGUUUUGAUUUUCUUUUUUGUGUGUGUCUCUUUUGAGUUGUGGGUGUGUGCGUUCGCAUGACCCAUCUGCUGUGUUAAUAAUAUUUGAAUGCAACGAUUUAGCUGCAAUUCCUGCAUCGCAGUGGGUUGGGCUAGAUGUCCUUUGGGGUCCCCUCCAAGUCUACAGUUCUCCGAUUCAGUCACUGGGAAUCAAGUUCCGGAUGUGACACGUUGAGCUGCAGUGCAUCAUUUGACAGGUAGACGUUAGGAUUCCUCCUUGGGGACACAGUAGCAAUGUCCACCAUAUCAGUUCCUCUCUUGCUUAGCUACCAGACUCUUAUCAGAUUUCCUAGGAACAUGCAACGCGAGCUGCCAGAGCGCUGAGUGGUCUGCAAUUCUGAAUUUGGACCAAGAGCAUUGGGUAAUUAUUCCAGGGAAAAUAAAAUAGGAUUUAUAAUAGCCAGGUCUUCCUUGUAGGAAUCGGAGGUGCCUAAAAGAGAUUACAGAUGAGUGGAGAUUUCAAAGGGCCACAUAUAAGAAGUGGGAGAAGGGGCAAACCACGAAGGAAGGGUAUAAGUGAGUAACCAACUCUUGCAGGGAGAAGGUCAGGUGGACCCAAGCUCUGAAGGAGCUCCGGCUUGCAGGAGAGGUCAUAAAUUUAAAAGGUUUUCCCCACUGGCUUUAUUCAAAGCAAGAGGGAGAAUAAGCAAGGAGUAGGUCCCCUUUGGGGGUGGAAAAUGGAGAAUUGCUUUUGGGUGACAGGGAGAAGGCAGAGCUGCUUGGUCAUCUGCGGCCAGCCUCCAGACAUGGCUGGGCUCCCAUCAGCCAGCAUGACCAAUGGUUAGGGAUGUGCAGCCCACAAAUAUUGAGAAGGCAUCAUGGAUGCACCUCAUCCUUGGGCAAAAGGGGAAUUAUUUCAAAACCGUUUUGCGUUUCCACUUACAGAUUAUAGGGUGUGCUUUUUCCGGGUGGGACGGGAAAGGACUUUGGAAAAAAAGCAAACUUUCCCUGGAGCAAAUGUUUGCUCUCCUGUAAAACUGUAAAAAUGAUAAAUCGCCCAUCAGUGGCACAAACAUCCCUCUCCAAACACUUGAAAGUAAACCAGUGAUCAAAAAUAAACGAGCUGGUGUUUUCUUUGCCUGUUUUUCACUCUCCUUUAUUUGAGGACGUCUCUAGAGGAUGUGUGGUGCCGUGGUUAGAGUGUGAGGACCUGGGACCUGGGAGAGACCAGGGUUCAAAUGGACAAAAUCAGGGCAGUGGGGCAAAUCUCUUCCCUCUGCAGCAGGCAGGGGGAGCCCUUUCCAGCUGGUGGGCCACAUUCCCUCAUCAGAAACCUCCUCAGGGCCACAUGCUGGUGGGGCGGAGCCAGAGGCAAAGGUGGGCGGAGCCAAGGCUGCAUGAAGUCCGUAGCAGGUGACACAGCAGCCCUUUGAAACUCCCAGAUUUCUAUAUGUACACGAACACACAGA